AUUGAACGCUGGCGGCAGGCCUAACACAUGCAAGUCGAGCGCGCGGCACACGGGUGAGUAAUGUAUGGGGACUUCCCGAUAGAGGGGUAUAACUACUGGAAACGGUGGCUAAUACCGCAUACUAUCUGUUCACCCAUAUGGUAUUCGCUAGUCGGUGGGGUAAAGGCUCACCUAGGCGACGAUCUCUAGCUGGUCUGAGAGGAUGAUCAGCAACACGGGGACUGAGACACGGCCCAGACUCCUACGGAGGCAGCAGUGGGGAAUAUGGCACAAUGGGCGCAAGCCUGAUGCAGCCAUGCCGCGUGUAUGAAGAAGGCCUUAGGGUUGUAAAGUACUUUCAGCGGGGAGGCGUUACCGGCAGAAGAAGCACCGGCUAACUCCGUGCCAGCAGCCGCGGUAAUUC
rnacentral:rRNA from 1 species